CUUAGAUUCGCAUUGGUUUUUUUUUCCGAGAUUACUCUAUAAAUCGAAGUCCAACUUACUCCCAUUGAACUUGCGACAGUUUUGCAUAUUUCAUUGUGUGAUGCAGACGGCGAAGCAGUCUUGAAAGAAUUGAACAUAUUCUUCUUCUGCCAUAUUCGGUAAUUCACUCAAAACAAAGUCCAAUUCACAAAACACACACACAGUCCAAUAAACAAGCCGGGUCAAUUAAUUUCA